UGUAUAAUGAUGAAACCCAUGCGUGUCAACUGACUCUGUAAACCCCUAUGUGUUGAUACUCUGGUUGGCGUUCUGUUAGCUUGAGCACUCAGCGCAAUAGGGGUCCAGAGGCAUGAUCUUAAAUCACUUCUGAAUACA
ensembl:snoRNA